GAUGAACGCUAGCUACAGGCUUAACACAUGCAAGUCGAGGGGUAACGAGAGGAAAGCUUGCUUUCCUUGUCGACGACCGGCGCACGGGUGAGUAACGCGUAUCCAACCUGCCCCCAACUAGGGAAUAACCUUGCGAAAGUAAGACUAAUACCCUAUAAUUUCCUCAGAUGACGUCUGACGAGGAAUAAAGAUUUAUCGGUUGUGGAUGGGGAUGCGUCUGAUUAGCUUGUUGGCGGGGUAACGGCCCACCAAGGCAACGAUCAGUAGGGGUUCUGAGAGGAAGGUCCCCCACAUUGGAACUGAGACACGGUCCAAACUCCUACGGGAGGCAGCAGUGAGGAAUAUUGGUCAAUGGGCGGAAGCCUGAACCAGCCAAGUAGCGUGCAGGAUGACGGCCCUAUGGGUUGUAAACUGCUUUUAUACAGGAAUAAAGUUAGCCACGUGUGGUUAUUUGUAGGUACUGUAUGAAUAAGGACCGACUAAUUCCGUGCCAGCCGCCGCCGUAA
rnacentral:rRNA from 1 species